rnacentral:miRNA from 1 species
AGGCAAGAUGUAGGCAUAGCUGC